rnacentral:rRNA from 1 species
CAGUCGACGGUAGCACAGAGAGCUUGCUCUCGGGUGACGAGUGGCGGACGGGUGAGUAAUGUCUGGGAAACUGCCCGAUGGAGGGGGAUAACUACUGGAAACGGUAGCUAAUACCGCAUAACGUCUUCGGACCAAAGUGGGGGACCUUCGGGCCUCACACCAUCGGAUGUGCCCAGAUGGGAUUAGCUAGUAGGUGGGGUAACGGCUCACCUAGGCGACGAUCCCUAGCUGGUCUGAGAGGAUGACCAGCCACACUGGAACUGAGACACGGUCCAGACUCCUACGGGAGGCAGCAGUGGGGAAUAUUGCACAAUGGGCGCAAGCCUGAUGCAGCCAUGCCGCGUGUAUGAAGAAGGCCUUCGGGUUGUAAAGUACUUUCAGUGGGGAGGAAGGCGAUGAAGUUAAUAACUUCGUCGAUUGACGUUACCCGCAGAAGAGGCACCGGCUAACUCCGUGCCAGCAGCCGCGGUAAUACGGAGGGUGCAGGCGUUAAUCGGAAUUACUGGGCGUAAAGCGCACGCACGCGGUCUGUCGAGUCGGAUGUGAAAUCUCCC